AUUGAACGCUGGCGGCAGGCCUAACACAUGCAAGUCGAGCGGAGCGGCGGACGGGCGAGUAAUGCCUAGGAAUCUGCCUGGCAGUGGGUGAUCACGUCCGGAAACGGGCGCUAAUACCGCAUACUAUCAGAUGAGCCUAGGUCGGAUUAGCUAGUUGGUGGGGUAAAGGCCUACCAAGGCGACGAUCCGUAACUGAUCUGAGAGGAUGAUCAGUCACCCUGGAACGGAGACACGGUCCAGACUACUACGGGAGGCAGCAGUGGGGAAUAUUGGACAAUGGGCUAAGGCCUAAUCCAGCCAUGCCGCGUGUGUGAAGAAAGUAUUCGGAUAGUAAAGCUCUUUAAGUUGGGAGGCGUUACCAAAAGAAUAAGCACCGGCUAACUUCGUGCCAGCAGCCGCGGUAAUUC
rnacentral:rRNA from 1 species